rnacentral:tRNA from 1 species
AGCCGCAAGGCGAGUAAUCCUCCCGGAUGCACCAUCUCUUACUUGAUANGGCUGAAGGCGCUCCCCUGCUAAGGGAGUAUGCGGUCAAAAGCUGCAUCCGGGGUUCGAAUCCCCGCCUCACCGCCA